rnacentral:lncRNA from 1 species
AAUCUCAAGGAAGCUCUUUGGGAGCCAGGAUUCCCAGCACUUAGCUGGUGGGCAAAGGGGUUCAACCCCUUCCCCACACCCCACCUUCCCUCCUCCCAGUCUUCGGGAUUGCGGAGCUCCUGCCGGGAUCCAAGAGCAGGCUCUUGGAGGUCGAAGAAGGAUAUAACCUCCAGACCUGGAAUUUAAGACGCAAGAACCAGCCAGCAAAAGUGGCAGCCGAGCAUGCGAGGGACUGCUGAUGGCUUUUUAUUAGGAAGCUAUGCAACUUGAGGUUCUACUGAAAAGGAGAAGAGGCCACUGGAGAUGGGAAGCCACGAAAACAUGAAGAUGUAGAAGUCUCAGCUCCUUCAAUGCUAUGUCUGCCAAGAUGCUGCCACACUCCCUUCUUGAUGAUAAUGGACUGAACCUCUGAACCUAAUGAAAAUUGGAUGGAGUUAUGGCGGGACACUCUUACUGGACACUGAAACCAUCCUGCAGCAAAUUGCUUCUGUGAAAUCUUUCUGCUGUUUGGGAGGUAUCCUUCUAUAGCACAGAAACGGAAACUUCAGCCAGAAGAGAGGAAUUCAGUGACUCCAUGCCAACAGAAACAGAGCUCUGCAUUUGUUUCCUGAGCCUACUUGCACUUGGAAGGUUUCUUUCCUCACAAGAAACAUGUGUUACAGGAUAUAAAAGUGGCUUUCCGUUUGGGGUUAGAACCCGAAACAGAAAGACAACAGAGAAAAAUUUCAGCUCAGCCUUUCUAGAUUGGAAAUGAUGCAUGAAUGUUGUUGUUUCUCCAAGACUUCAGCACAGGUAUAACAUGGUGCUAAUUUAAUCACCCGGUGAAUCACCUUUUCUCUGUGAGAUGUUAACACUGAUGUAAGAUGUUUCCAUGUGAGGAACGGGAAAGACUUGAGACACAAAAAAGCUUCAAGGAUUGGUAAAUAGAAUAAUGUGGUCUGUACCCCACUAAUUUUUCUUGCCAUCCAUGAGAGGCCCGAUGGGCUGCAGCAAUGCAUCAUUUAGAUCGCCCCUUCAGCUGGUUCAUGGAAAACUAACAAAAAUUGAUGUUGUUAUCUGGGGUUUUCGUGUGUGAUUUGUCUAACUCUUUACAUUCAUUAUGGGUUUUGCCCUUCUUUAAUAAAAUGGCCUGAUAUUGCCUUCA